rnacentral:lncRNA from 1 species
CUGGCAGUGGUAUCACACUGGCAGAGAGAUUUCAAAUGCUAGAGACAUGUUCAAACUUUCACCAGCUCUCAGAAACCUUUUGCGGAUUGGUUUCUUUGCAGGUGUGGCUCGUACAGCAGGAGCGUGGAUCAGCGGAGAAGGACAGCACCAGAGGGAGAAUAAGCCUUUACAUUUGUGUUUACGGCUGACUCUUCUUGUGUUGUGGGAACAUGCAAAGAAACACUGCCCAUGCGAAGGUACCAGUCACCGAAAGACUCGUGCUCCCUCCCUACUCCUGAACAGGAAUCAAGGGCUGCUGUUGCCUGGAAGCAAGAAGCAGCUUCUGACGAGGGUGUCCAGAAAGGCAUUUCUUCAGUGGCAUUUUCUAGAGGAACCAACAGAAAUCCCCACUCUAAACGACAACACAAACAAAACAAGGACGCCACAGACACAGAGAGAGUGUAUCUGGCAUACCAGAGCUACACCGAGCCACGGGAAUCCCAGUUCCUGGGAUAUUCCCAGUUAUUCUGUACCCAGGCUCUUUCCAGCAGAAUGCACCAGGGGAAGCCAAAAAAGGUAAAAAGAAUUGUCCAAACUUGUGUUAUGUAGGAACAAAAAAAGUCGCGUCGCAAAUAGUUUUGGGUCUAUAUGUUAGGAAGGGGAGGAGGAAGCCAAUAAGAAGGUGAGCCCAGCUGCCCAUCUAAGGGGAAAAAGUCCUGGGAUUCUUUUGUGCCUUGGAUCUAGCCUCUCUGAGGACGCCUAGCCAGGGGCAUCUGCACACCUCAGCAGCAGAGAGGCCUGAAGGAGAAGCUGACAUGGAGCUGGAGAGAAACCUGCUUUGCCAGUAGAGAACGUGGGGCCAAGGAGGAGAGAAAUGGUUGUUGUGGCCAAAAGCAUUCCUGGGUUCUGCUCGCUCCAUUAAUUCUGCAGAGGGAGGGCCCCCGGUCCCAGCCAGUGCAGGUGUGAACACUCAAGUCAUCAUUUGGAAAAUUGGGCCCCGGAGGCGGGAGCUGCCAGCUGCUUGGUGAUGGGCUCUGAUGCCUUCCAAGUCUGGGCUGUGCAUAGCAUCCCCACCCCUGCUCCCCUUUCCCGAUAGUGUGCUUGGCCCCCCGCCGCUAUCCACCUCCUUCCAAUCCUUUGCAGCUUCCCAUGUAAUUUGCUUGUAAUAAGCCUCAUAAAGUUUGAUCGUGCUUGCUAGGACUGCAGACGGACAAGCGGAAUGAGCUCAUGUUUCUGGCAGUGGAGCACGAGGGUUAAUGGGAGUCCCAGAGGGAGCUGCCUGCCUGGGCUCUUUCAGGAAUGGGAGUCAAUUUAACAACCUUCAGACCUUCAGAGCGUCGGCAAGGUAAAACCUGACAUGCUCUUGAUGGUCUCCAUAUCCUUGUUCUCUGAAUUCUUAUGGUUUAUCAGCUCCAUUUACAAGUCCAACCCCCACUCUUCUCUGCCUCCAUCUCGUGGGACCUCCACAUCAUCAUAAAACAAAACCUUGACUGUCAUCUCAUCCCUUUGAACCAUUGGGCCCAUGCAGUGUUGCACUGUCUCUUCAGUCACUCUCCACACUCCCAACCUCGGCUACAUCC